rnacentral:rRNA from 1 species
CAAGGUUUCCAGGGGAAGGUUCGUCCGCCCUGGGUUAGUCGGGACCUAAGCUGAGGCCGAAAGGCGUAGGUGAUGGACAACAGGUUGAUAUUCCUGUACUACCGAUAACCGUUUGAGAGAAGGGAUGACACAGUAGGAUAAGCUAAGCACACUGUUGGUUAUGUGUGCCCAAGCAUUGAGGCAGUCAAAGUAGGCAAAUCCGCUUUGAUAAUGCUGGGAUGUGAUGGGGAGCGAAAUUUAGUAGCGAAGUAGCUGAUUUCACACUGUCAAGAAAAGUCUCUAUCGAGGUUAAAGGUACCCGUACCGCAAACCGACACAGGUGGGUGAGGAGAGUAUCCUAAGGCCAGCGAGAGAACUGUUGUUAAGGAACUCGGCAAAAUGACCCCGUAACUUAGGGAUAAGGGGUGCCACCAUCAGGUGGCCGCAGAGAAUAGGCCCAAGCGACUGUUUACCAAAAACAUAGGUUUCUGCUAAGUCGCAAGACGAUGUAUAGGAGCUGACGCCUGCCCGGUGCUGGAAGGUUAAGGGGAUCUGUUAGAGCAAUCGAAGCAGUGAACUUAAGCCCCAGUAAACGGCGGCCGUAACUAUAACGGUCCUAAGGUAGCGAAAUUCCUUGUCGGGUAAGUUCCGACCCGCACGAAAGGCGUAACGAUUUGGGCACUGUCUCAACAACAGACUCGGUGAAAUUGUAAUUCCGGUGAAGAUGCCGGAUACCUGCGACAGGACGGAAAGACCCCAUGGAGCUUUACUGUAGCUUGACAUUGGGUCUUGGUACUACAUGUACAGGAUAGGUG